UGGGGAAUAUUGCACAAUGGGCGCAAGCCUGAUGCAGCCAUGCCGCGUGUGUGAAGAAGGCCUUCGGGUUGUAAAGCACUUUCAGCGGGGAGGAAGGCGAUAAGGUUAAUAACCUUGUCGAUUGACGUUACCCGCAGAAGAAGCACCGGCUAACUCCGUGCCAGCAGCCGCGGUAAUACGGAGGGUGCAAGCGUUAAUCGGAAUUACUGGGCGUAAAGCGCACGCAGGCGGUCUGUCAAGUCGGAUGUGAAAUCCCCGGGCUCAACCUGGGAACUGCAUUCGAACCUGGCAGGCUAGAGUCUUGUAGAGGGGGGUAGAAUUCCAGGUGUAGCGGUGAAAUGCGUAGAGAUCUGGAGGAAUACCGGUGGCGAAGGCGGCCCCCUGGACAAAGACUGACGCUCAGGUGCGAAAGCGUGGGGAGCAAACAGG
rnacentral:rRNA from 1 species